GGAGUAGCGGGGUUGCUGUCGCAGGGCGGUCUGACGGGAAGCACAGCCGCCAUAUUUCUCUAAAUCAAGCCUGCAGCUAGGCUAGCUCACUAGCCGCUUCUUCGUUUUCUUCUUCUUGUACAGUUUUGUGGCAGCCAGGCAGUUGGCAAACAUUAAGGUCCGCCACCUCCUGGGCUAGAGGGUAGGUUGUGAAUGGACUAGCUAUUUUCUCGCUUCAUCUUAACUGGGAUUGGUGUUUCAAUUCUAUACACAAUAAUUAUAUUAUUUGGUAAUUUAAAUAUUAUGUUAGCUAAGGCUAUAAAUGAUCUUCAAAAAAGUCUGUCUCAAAAGCCUCUAAACACUGUUACGGUAACGAUAGCUGGUUAAACAGCACCGCCCUACGGCAGUCUUAAGCAGUUACAAUGCUCGGCCCGUUUGGAUUGCUUUUAUUUUGAAAAAACAACAAGCCACGUACGGGAAGUCGGAGGGGAAAUCAGCUGAAAUCCGCGGAAAACAUCAGCAGGACUAUUUUUCACUACUUAGCUAGCUAUCCCUAUCCAACUUCUAUUUCUCCUUUCCUUCCUUUUUGCUGUCAAAACUCCACACAGGCGAUGUCUGAGUCAUACGAUUUCCUGUUUAAAUUCCUGGUUAUUGGAAAUGCUGGAACGGGCAAAUCCUGUCUGCUGCACCAGUUCAUAGAGAAGAGAUUUAAGGAUGAAUCCAACCACACGAUUGGAGUGGAGUUUGGCUCCAAGAUCAUCAAUGUUGUCAAUAAAAUGGUCAAACUGCAGAUUUGGGACACUGCAGGACAAGAAAGGUUCAGGUCUGUGACCAGGAGUUACUACAGAGGAGCUGCAGGAGCUCUGCUGGUCUAUGAUAUCACCAGUCGAGAGACAUACAACGCUCUGACCACGUGGCUGAGUGAUGCCAGGAUGCUGGCCAGUCAGAAUAUCGUCAUCAUUCUAUGUGGAAACAAGAAGGACCUGGACGCAGACAGAGAGGUCACGUUUCUGGAGGCUUCCCGCUUCGCUCAGGAGAAUGAGCUGAUGUUCCUGGAGACAAGUGCUCUAACUGGGGAGAACGUUGAAGAGGCCUUUGUCCAGUGCGCUCGGAAAAUCCUCAACAAGAUAGAGUCAGGUGAGCUGGAUCCAGAGAGGAUGGGUUCAGGUAUCCAGUAUGGCGACGCUGCGUUACGACAGCUCCGUUCGCCUCGUCGUGCUCAGGCGCAGGGCACCCAGGAGUGUGGCUGCUAGUGGACGCACCCAGUAACACACAGUACACCGACAAGGUGAAAGAGCCAGUGGGCGGGUUUGUGAAGACCAGGAGAAGAACAGCCGCGGGGGACCCAGGGUUCAGGUUGCUAUGCUGGUGACUCCUCUCUGACCUUUUGACCUUUCGCACGGAAAACCUUCGGAACCUUUUGAACCUUUGUUGUCAUGACUGCACCUGCAGAGAGCUCAAAAGACCUCCCAGCCACGCCCCCACUCAGACCUCUCUGACCAUCUCCAAAGUAACCAGAGACCGCCCACCCUGCAACAUUCUGCUCUACUAUUGGACCAAACCUUCCCCAGCCCUUCAAUCAGUAUGUGAAUUACUGACAUGUAUGUAACUUCCCUCUCCUACCUUUCUACUUAUCUGCCCUCAUACCAGCUUACCUCACAACUUAGUACAUUUUAGUUUUCUCUACACAUCUCUAUAUAUCCUCUAUCCCCCCCCUCUCUCCACCCACCUGCUCUGAUUGCCUGUUAACUUCCUGCUCACCUGUUUCACACCACUAACAGGCUACCGACUACGCAUGCAUUUUGCACUCCAUGUAUACGUUCUUACACACGUUCUCUCCCAGUAAAGUGCCCCAGGCAAUGUAGCUACCAAAUUCCUACCUAUCCAACCCGGUGUUUACAUCCCAUCAUUCUCUCUGUUGCCUUCUUACACAUCUGCUUACCUGUCUACCUACCUGCCUGUCUCUUUACACAGCUCUCUGCCUCUCUGAAUCUCCCUACAGCAUCUUAUACCCUGUACAGUGUUUCUGUACAUAGACUGUCGCAUGUUUUCUCAACAGAAUAUCAGAGUAACUGAGAACAUUAUGAAGAGAUAUAUGUAUAUUAAAGUAGAUAUCCGCAUCUGUUUCAUGCUCCACUGUAUUAUUAUCAUGUUAAGCUACAAUACACUGGCAACUUGUAAGCAAUAUAGAAGGGGAGUACUGUUUGCAGCAGUUAUGUUAAUUUGUAAAUGGGACAAGCUGAUAUGGAGACCAUUAUAGACUAACAAGUUUAUGUGGGAAAAUUCUGUUUUAUUAAUGUUCAAGCUUAUAGAUUGAAAAAGAAGAAAUAUUUAGAGCAUACAUUUUGCUUUCUGUUAUGUUUAAUUUAAAUAAUUUGGAGUUUGAAAGUUGCAUGUCAACUUUUAAUUUACAAUGGCACAUUCAGCGUUCACCAUUCAGUUAAAUGAAUCCUGAAUCCAAAGGAUCCAAAGGAUUCCAGUUAUGACUGAUCCCUCUCAUUUGUAAAUGAUGCCUGUUUACAUGAAUACCUCACUGACUUCUGCCAGCUGUGGGGUAAUACUAACUUAACGCAUUUCAAGUUUUAGAAAUGGUAUGAAACUAUCUGAUGUGUGUUUGAGUUUGGUCUCCAAAGAUACUUUUAUGUUCCGUUCAGCCACAUGAAGCUCUCGACAAAAAUAAACACUACAACUUGGGAAUUUUUCAAAUAUUUAGAUUUAGAGGUGUGUUUUACAUAGGUAUAUUCAAGCAUCAUGUUGCAACAUGUUUGUUUUUUACAUGUUUGCCCCUUGACAAUUAUGCAUCCAACUUUGAAAUCAAGCACACUUCAAACUUCAUAUUAGAAUUCAUCUGAAAGUGGCUUUGGCUGCUUCACGUCAGGCUGCCGUGUUGUGUUUAUGUCAUCACGUCCUUUGUUUAUUUAUGGACGUUUGUUUUUCUCUUGUCAUUAUGAAUAUCAUGGAUUUUUAAUUUAUUGUGUAUGAUAAAAGCCUAU